rnacentral:lncRNA from 1 species
UGGAUAGGAGGAAAAAACACAGAACUCCUACGCAAGAAACAUAAAACAUUAUCUUGUUUUGUUGGAUGUAAAGCAAAAGAGAGAGCAACUGAUUUUCUCGGAAUGAAAGGUGGCGUAAAUUGUAAUGGGGCAGCCCAAUAAGUUGGCCCAAACACAAAAUAGCCAUUCAUCCCACAUCGAAAAGACGGAGAAACGUAUGCCUCUUUAUAAUGGGACGGCGUAGCAGACAGAUUGCCGGGCUCGGUAGCGCGAGCCUGUGACCUAAGCAGGGGCAUUAAGGCGGGAUCGGAGGUUGCAGUGGUGGAAGGAGGAGGAGGGCGGACUUAGUCCGAAACCCGUGCUGAACUUGGCCCCACAUCAGGGAUUCUAGCUCGAUUGUCGAGCGGAUUGGAAUCGAGGCUCUCAUAGAGAGAUGAACGGCUCGUUUGACGAGUUGCGGGACGGCGUCGUGGUCGUGACCUUUAAUUAAGGGUUGUGUCUGUACACGUUAAUUGCUGGCUUGGCAGAGCAGCAUGCGCCGAUACAGGGGGGGCCAUGUUGACGACCCACAGUCGGGGGUGGUUUAAGCCCUGUUCUCUUCGAUUACCUCCACUUCAACCGAACCUCGACCUUUUGCUAUUUUCAUUUUCUCCUUCCACAUUAGAUUAUUACCCAUAUAGACGUUAGCUCUACUAGAAUUUUAUUGAGGGGAAUCUUUUUGGUUCUUUUAGUUUGCUUGAACAAUUCUUUCUUCCAUGGAAAAUUGAAUUAUAUGCACCGUCAUGAAUUGAGUUUUUCUCUCUUCAUUUAUUGUGGUUAAAACGAAUAAUUAGAUUAGCACAUGUCGAUCUUUGUUGAGGCUGAGCUGAGUUGCUUUGUUUUUUAUCAGUACUCCAAUUCUAUAUAAUAUCCAUUUAUUCUUCAUUUUUGUAGAUUUGUAGCCUCUCAUGCGAUCUUGUCUUCACAUAUAACACCACUCUGUUUCCUUCUAUGAAAGGCGAAACCCUUCUCGCAGCGGCGAAUUUAUAAACCUUGAAACAACUAUUUGAAUCCAAUGUUUGCAAUUAUCUGUAGAAGAGGAGUAAUUAGGGUUCCGGGAAAAGAUUCAAUUUCUGUUGCCCUAAGAUUCCUCGCGCAUUUCUCCUGGGUGAACUCGUAUUCAACUUCAGAUGGCGGCGGCGGCGAUGCUGGAGGCCAAUCUUUGACCAUCUCUUACCUCGUCGGCGCGUGUGGGCUGCCGGAGAAGGCCGCCGUCUCUGCAUCAAAGAGUCUGUGCAUCAAAUCCCGAGAAAAUCCAGACGCGGUGUUGGAGCUCCUCAAAGACUACGGAUUCACAGAUUCCCAAAUUUCGAGGAUCGUUAGUAGAUGGCCGCGCGUUCUGCAAUGCAGCCCCGACAAAACCCUGAUGCCGAAGCUCGAAUUCUUCCGCUCGAUCGGCGUUCCCGAUUGUAUCGCGGCGCAGCGCCUAUCUGUCUUCCCUAGGAUCUUACAGCGCAGUCUCCGAAACCAUCUCAUCCCCUCGUAUAAUUACUUGAAAGGAUGGGUGCGAUCCGAGGAGAGGGUGGCGAUCGUGUUUAAACGCGCUCCGUUGGCGUUUUCGAGCGGCUGGCCGAAGGCGAUUCCGUCGAACGUCGCCAUGUUGAGAGAGAGAGGGAUGCCCGAGUCGUGUAUUGUUUCGUUGGUGGGGUGGAAGCCUAAUAUGCUGCUGCUCCGCCGCGAUAAGUUGUGUGGGUUUGUGGAUCGAGCUGCUGAGAUGGGAUUCGACGCGUCCACAAUGGCGUUCGUGAGUGCACUCCAGGUGUUCUACAGUAUGCCUGAGAGGGCUCUGCAGCGUAAAAUGGAGAUUUAUAGAAGCUGUGGGUGGUCCGAAGACGCGGCCACUUCGGUCUUCCUAAGGUUUCCCGCUUGCAUGGCGUUGUCCGAGACCAAAAUAAGAGCGAAUAUGGAUUUUCUGGUUAAGGAGCUGGGAUUCAAGCCCGUCGAGGUGGCCCGAUGCCCUUCGCUUCUGAGCUACAAUCUGGAGAGGAGGAUGAUGGGGAGGUGGAUGGUGGUCAAGGCUUUGGUUGCGAGAGGGUUGUUGAAGAAGGAGCCCAUCGCCGCCGCCGCCAUCUCCACCUUGUUCAAAAUGGCCGAGGACAAGUUCGUCAAGAGCUACAUUGUUUAUCAUCAACAAGAGAUUCCUCAGCUCCUCGACUUGUAUCGAGGCAACUUGAGCCUCUCUCAACUUCUAACGUCUGAUUGAAGGGUCGCGUGUUUGGUUGAUUGCUUAGCUUAUUCAAUCCUCAAUUUGAAUUUUGAUCUGUGACGAAUUUGGACAGUUGAGCUAAUUACUAUAUAGAUUAGACUAUGGUUUAGUUAUGGAGCAUAUAGCUCAUAUUCUACCAAACUUGAUGGCUUUCUUUGCUUCUGUGAUUUCUUUUGUGCCCAUAUAUUAAUAACAUUAAUAUAUUUUUAUAUCCAUGUUCAAUCUCAACGGUAAUAUAUGAUAUUUAAGUAGUAAUAUCUUGAUAAUUCAAAUAUUUACUGCAACCAAAAUUGAAAAGGUAUUACAAUGUUAUAUUAAUACGAAAUAGUUUAUUUAAUCUUAUAUUUAUAUUAAAUAAUAUCUUAAUAAUUCUUAACAUUUACUACCAUUAAAAUCGAAAAGAGGUAUCACCAAAAAUUAUUUAUUUUUAGAACCUCAUUUAUUUGUCAAACUUAAUAAAUAGUAUAAAUCAAAAUACAUGUGAUAAGCUGAACUAUUUAGGAUUUUCAAUUAGAAUAAAGAGGCUAUAGUUCAACUACUCAAAACCCGUCUAGAUUAUAUAAAUACACGUACCCGUCGUAAACCACUUAAAAGUGAUUUUACUAUUAACUCUAAUCUCAAACAUGUGUAUUAUACUCACUAUUCACCUGAACCUAGACUACCUAAUUGAAUUUGUAAAAAAAUAUUGUUACACUAAUUUAUUAUCUGUUACAGUAAUAAAUCGACAUUACAAAGUAAAUAUUAAUAUAACUAAAUAACAAA